rnacentral:lncRNA from 1 species
AUCGGUAGCACGGAGCGCUCCGUGCUACCAAGUUGUUUUCGAUGAUGCGGCUUCCAAAUCGACGAUCGGCUCCGUUAGACUUGAUCUACACUAUUAAAAGUAUUUGGAAACUAAAUUUCAGAUUUUUUCGACAUCAUUUGACACGUGAUCAAAAGAUCUCAAAAUUAAUAAUUUUAAAGGCCGAUGUGGUGUGUUUGUGAGUUUAACGGUGUAAAACAAUCCAAAUGCGAUGAAAAUUUUAUAGAAAAUUUUUUUCACUAUUUAGAGUAAGAUCAGUAUAUCUGAUCUUGAAUUUAAAUCUUUUAUCAUCAUUUUUCAUGAGAUUUUUAUUUUCAGCCGUUCAAUUUUAGACUACUUGUUUGAUAGGUAAAUGAUAUCGAAAAAUUAUGAAAUUUAGUUUCUAAAUACUUUCAAUAGUGUAGAUCAUAGUGGGCUGGGUCGUUACAUUUGGUAUCAGAGCCGGUUCACCAGCUGGACAUGUGUGGCGAGUCUCGGCUGAGCCAGGGUCUGGAUGACGGGCUAGCGAGACGAGUCUCACAUCGCCUGGUGGUGAUCUUGGGCUGAGUGUGUGAUUGGACUGACGAGGACGUCAGGGCCUUAACGGGGGGAGUCUGUGACACCCCAAUAGUCCCACAUCGGAUGGGAAUGGGGUUGUCAUUGGGUUUAUAAGAGACUUAAACACUAGUAAUAAUAACUGGGCUUAAGCAUUUUGGGCCGGUGGUUUGGGCCCAACGAGUUAUUGUUGCUAGUGGGUUGGGUCGUUACAUUUGGUAUCAGAGCCGGUUCACCAGCUGGACAUGUGUGGCGAGUCUCGGCUGAGCCAGGGUCUGGAUGACGGGCUAGCGAGACGAGUCUCACAUAGCCUGGUGAUCUUGGGCUGUGUGUGUUUGGACUGACGAGGACGUCAGGGCCUUAACGGGGGGAGUCUGUGACACCCCAUUAGUCCCACAUCGGAUGGGAAUGGGGUUGUCAUUGGGUUUAUAAGAGACUUAGACACUAGUAAUAAUAACUGGGCUUAAGCAUUUUGGGCCGGUUGUUGGGCCCAACGAGUUAUUGUUGCUAGUGGGCUGGGUCGUUACAAGUCUAACGGAGCCGAUCGUCGAUUUGAAAGCCGUAUCAUCGAAAACAACUUGGUAGCACGGAGCGCUCCGUGUUACCGAUAGUAUAGUAGCCUAGUUCUAUAUAUAUAUAUAUAUAUAUAUAUAGAACUAGGCUACUAUACUAUCAAUAGUACCAACCCCUUGGUACUAUUGAGUUUUCGGCCGUUGGACGAAAGGAUGUGCGGUUAGGAUAAUAGUGAUCCCUGGUUAAAUUGAUAGUGGUCCCUAGGGUUGAGUGGGUGGUUGGUUUAAUAGUAUAAUCUAACGGGUGGAAAUGAUCAAGGGGUAGAUCUAACGGUAGAAAACUCAAUAAUACCAAAGGUUUUGUACUAUCGAUAGUAUAGUAGCCGGACUCUCUAUAUA